rnacentral:lncRNA from 1 species
ACUUGUUAUUUUACUCUAUGUCAAAUACUAACAGGAGAAAGAUGUUUCAUCCACAAGACUGUGACUUCUCAAACACACAGCUUUACAAGGUGACAUUCGGCUUCGGGAUGGACUCUCAGAUGACCCCAGUGGACGCUGGAAAUGAAGGCAAUCAUGCUGAGGGCCUGGCAGUCACACUUCAGCUAAGAGAAACCCUUCCUUCUACAGUUUUCUUUAAGGAAAUGUAGUUUUAUUCUCCUAUUUAGCAAUAUAUUCCGUGUCCUCCAAACUCUAAGUUACAAGUUUUUUCAAAUAAGAACUUGAAAAAGUACCAAAGUUUGGGACACUAGGGACAGACUAUCAUUGGUACAGCAGCCUCAGCCUGGUUUCCAUCAAGGACCGGCUGUGAAAUGGAGGGGCUCGGAGGGCCACAGUCAAGAGCCUAGUGAGUUGGAAUUCCGUUAACAGCUCUACCUCUCUUCCGCUGUGUAACCUCGGGCUAGAGUUCAGAAGUGAGUGGUCUGGAUUCAGAAGACUGCCAGAAGCUAAGUGAGGUACAUCACAAAGGAACACAGGACUGUGAGCUAGAACAGGAGAGUGAAUGUUCGCUGGGGCCUUCCAGAAGACAGUUCAGUCUUAGCAAACUGGCCAGGAAGGAUUUUCAUCAAGAUGGAGGAAAAACCUGGAGAUCUUUGGCUCAAAGGACAUGACCUAAUUCUACAGAUGAAUCUGUACUGACGUUAGAAAACCACUGGUGGAACAUAAAACUUGUACAUUCUUCUAAAAAUGAAGGUAGAUCACAGCAGACUCAAUCUAUUUAUAGCCAGUCAUAUCAACAUUACUGAUUGGGAAUUACCAAAAGAGGUGAAAUUAUUUAACAAAUCCUUUGUUAAGUCAUAUUCUGAACCUACAGAUGUCAAUUUCAGGUGUUUAUUUUUUAAAUAAAGAUAAUUAAAACACUAAAAA